GAUGAACGCUAGCUACAGGCUUAACACAUGCAAGUCGAGGGGAAACGGCAUUGAGUGCUUGCACUCUUUGGACGUCGACCGGCGCACGGGUGAGUAACGCGUAUCCAACCUUCCCAUUACUGUGGGAUAACCUGCCGAAAGGCAGACUAAUACCGCAUAGUCUUCGAUGACGGCAUCAGAUUUGAAGUAAAGAUUUAUCGGUAAUGGAUGGGGAUGCGUCUGAUUAGCUUGUUGGCGGGGUAACGGCCCACCAAGGCUACGAUCAGUAGGGGUUCUGAGAGGAAGGUCCCCCACAUUGGAACUGAGACACGGUCCAAACUCCUACGGGAGGCAGCAGUGAGGAAUAUUGAUCAAUGGACGGAAGUCUGAACCAGCCAAGUAGCGUGCAGGAUGACGGCCCUAUGGGUUGUAAACUGCUUUUGUAUGGGGAUAAAGUUAGGGACGUGUCCCUAUUUGCAGGUACCAUACGAAUAAGGACCGGCUAAUUCCGUG
rnacentral:rRNA from 1 species